rnacentral:rRNA from 1 species
UACGAAGGGGGCUAGCGUUGUUCGGAAUUACUGGGCGUAAAGCGCAUGCAGGCGGAUCGCUAAGUCAGGGGUGAAAGCCCGAGGCUCAACCUCGGAACUGCCUUUGAUACUGGCGAUCUUGAGUCCGGGAGAGGUGAGUGGAACUCCGAGUGUAGAGGUGAAAAUUCGUAGAUAUUCGGAAGAACACCAGUGGCGAAGGCGGCUCACUGGCCCGGUACUGACGCUGAGAUGCGAAAGCGUGGGGAGCAAACAGG